rnacentral:rRNA from 1 species
GAGUUUGAUCAUGGCUCAGGAUGAACGCUGGCGGCGUGCUUAACACAUGCAAGUCGAACGAACCUUCGGGUUAGUGGCGGACGGGUGAGUAACGCGUGAGAAUCUGCCCUCAGGAGGGGGACAACAGCUGGAAACGGCUGCUAAUACCCCAUAUGCCGCGAGGUGAAAUGAAUUUCGCCUGAGGAUGAGCUCGCGUCUGAUUAGCUAGUUGGUGUAGGUAAUGGCUCACCAAGGCAUCGAUCAGUAGCUGGUCUGAGAGGAUGAUCAGCCACACUGGGACUGAGACACGGCCCAGACUCCUACGGGAGGCAGCAGUGGGGAAUUUUCCGCAAUGGGCGAAAGCCUGACGGAGCAACGCCGCGUGAGGGAUGAAGGCCUCUGGGCUGUAAACCUCUUUUAUCAAGGAAGAAGAUCUGACGGUACUUGAUGAAUAAGCCACGGCUAAUUCCGUGCCAGCAGCCGCGGUAAUACGGGAGUGGCAAGCGUUAUCCGGAAUUAUUGGGCGUAAAGCGUCCGCAGGCGGCCCUUCAAGUCUGCUGUUAAAAAGUGGAGCUUAACUCCAUCAUGGCAGUGGAAACUGUUGGGCUUGAGUGUGGUAGGGGCAGAGGGAAUUCCCGGUGUAGCGGUGGAAUGCGUAGAUAUCGGGAAGAACACCAGUGGCGAAGGCGCUCUGCUGGGCCAUCACUGACGCUCAUGGACGAAAGCCAGGGGAGCGAAAGGGAUUAGAUACCCCUGUAGUCCUGGCCGUAAACGAUGAACACUAGGUGUCGGGGGAAUCGACCCCCUCGGUGUCGUAGCCAACGCGUUAAGUGUUCCGCCUGGGGAGUACGCACGCAAGUGUGAAACUCAAAGGAAUUGACGGGGGCCCGCACAAGCGGUGGAGUAUGUGGUUUAAUUCGAUGCAACGCGAAGAACCUUACCAGGGUUUGACAUCCUGCGAAUCUCUUGGAAACAGGAGAGUGCCUUCGGGAACGCAGUGACAGGUGGUGCAUGGCUGUCGUCAGCUCGUGUCGUGAGAUGUUGGGUUAAGUCCCGCAACGAGCGCAACCCACGUCUUUAGUUGCCAGCAUUUAGUAGGGCACUCUAGAGAGACUGCCGGUGAUAAACCGGAGGAAGGUGUGGAUGACGUCAAGUCAUCAUGCCCCUUACAUCCUGGGCUACACACGUACUACAAUGCUACGGACAAAGGGCAGCAAGUUCGCGAGGACAAGCAAAUCCCAUAAACCGUGGCUCAGUUCAGAUCGUAGGCUGCAACUCGCCUACGUGAAGGCGGAAUCGCUAGUAAUCGCAGGUCAGCAUACUGCGGUGAAUACGU